GACGAACGCUGGCGGCGUGCUUAACACAUGCAAGUCGAACGGAAAGGCCCUGCUUUUGUGGGGUGCUCGAGUGGCGAACGGGUGAGUAACACGUGAGUAACCUGUCCUUGACUGUGGUAUCACUUCAGGACACUUGGGCUAAUACCGGAUAGGCGCUCCUGCUCCUUGCUGGGGGUUGGAAAGUUACGGCGGCUGGGGAUGGACUCGCGGCUUAUCAGCUUGUUGGUGAGGCAGUGGCUUACCAAGGCUUUGACGGGUCGCCGGGCUGAGAGGGUGACCGGCGACACUGGGACGGAGAGACGGCACAGACUCCUACGGGAGGGAGAAGUGGGGAAUAUUGCAGAAUGUGCGGAAAACUGAUGCAGAAACGCCGCGUGCGGGAGGAGGGGCUUCGGGGAGUAAACCGCGUUCGCCUGUGACGAAGCGGGAGUGACGGUAAUGGGUAAAGAAGCACCGGCUAAAUACGUG
rnacentral:rRNA from 1 species